rnacentral:rRNA from 1 species
GUACACUCCUGCGGGAGGCAGCAGUGGGGAAUUUUGGACAAUGGGCGAAAGCCUGAUCCAGCAAUGCCGCGUGAGUGAAGAAGGCCUUCGGGUUGUAAAGCUCUUUUGUCAGGGAAGAAACGGUGAGAGCUAAUAUCUCUUGCUAAUGACGGUACCUGAAGAAUAAGCACCGGCUAACUACGUGCCAGCAGCCGCGGUAAUACGUAGGGUGCAAGCGUUAAUCGGAAUUACUGGGCGUAAAGCGUGCGCAGGCGGUUUUGUAAGUCUGAUGUGAAAUCCCCGGGCUCAACCUGGGAAUUGCAUUGGAGACUGCAAGGCUAGAAUCUGGCAGAGGGGGGUAGAAUUCCACGUGUAGUAGUGAAAUGCGUAGAUAUGUGGAGGAACACCGAUGGCGAAGGCAGCCCCCUGGGUCAAGAUUGACGCUCAUGCACGAAAGCGUGGGGAGCAAACAGGAUUAGAUACCCGAGUAGUCCCAUG